rnacentral:rRNA from 1 species
GUCCACGCCGUAAACGUUGGGAACUAGGUGUGGGCCACAUUCCACGUGGUCUGUGCCGCAGCUAACGCAUUAAGUUCCCCGCCUGGGGGAGUACGGCCGCAAGGCUAAAACUCAAAGGAAUUGACGGGGGCCCGCACAAGCGGCGGAGCAUGUGGCUUAAUUCGAUGCAACGCGAAGAACCUUACCUAGGCUUGACAUGCAGGGAAAUCUCGUAGAGAUACGGGGUCCGCAAGGGCCUUGCACAGGUGGUGCAUGGCUGUCGU